rnacentral:tRNA from 1 species
GGGAUAGUAGUCAAGUGGCUAAGACAUCACCCUUUCACGGUGGUAACGUGGGUUCGAUUCCCACCUAUCUCA